UCGAGGGGUAACAUUGGUGCUUGCACCAGAUGACGACCGGCGCACGGGUGCGUAACGCGUAUACAAUCUACCUUUUGCUAAGGGAUAGCCCAGAGAAAUUUGGAUUAAUACCUUAUAGUAUGCAGACUUCUCAUGGAGAUUGCAUUAAAGAUUACGGCAAAAGAUGAGUAUGCGUCCUAUUAGUUUGUUGGUGUGGUAACGGCACACCAAGACUACGAUAGGUAGGGGCCCUGAGAGGGGGAUCCCCCACACUGGUACUGAGACACGGACCAGACUCCUACGGGAGGCAGCAGUGAGGAAUAUUGGACAAUGGAGGCAACUCUGAUCCAGCCAUGCCGCGUGCAGGAAGACUGCCCUAUGGGUUGUAAACUGCUUUUAUACAGGAAGAAACACUCCCUCGUGAGGGAGCUUGACGGUACUGUAAGAAUAAGGAUCGGCUAACUCCGUGCCAGCAGCCGCGGUAAUACGGAGGAUCCAAGCGUUAUCCGGAAUCAUUGGGUUUAAAGGGUCCGUAGGUGGAUAAUUAAGUCAGAGGUGAAAGUUUGCAGCUCAACUGUAAAAUUGCCUUUGAUACUGGUUAUCUUGAGUUAUUGUGAAGUAGUUAGAAUAUGUAGUGUAGCGGUGAAAUGCAUAGAUAUUACAUAGAAUACCAAUUGCGAAGGCAGAUUACUAACAAUAUACUGACACUGAUGGACGAAAGCGUGGGUAGCGAACAGGAUUAGAUACCCUGGUAGUCCACGCCGUAAACGAUGGAUACUAGCUGUUGGGCUUCGGCUCAGUGGCUAAGCGAAAGUGAUA
rnacentral:rRNA from 1 species